rnacentral:misc_RNA from 1 species
GGAGAGUUGGUAAAGCCUUUUGGCCAAGAAAUUGGGUCCGAAAAACAUCGAUGUUAGAGGCUGAGCUUCGGUUCCAUAUGGGCAAAACUGCGUGUCUAGCCAAGCUUCCAUAGGGAUUUCCGCAGAGUACUGAUCUAAGACAUAGGAAGGCUUAUGGUGAGUAUCAGGAACAAAGGCAGUCAAGAAAACAGAAACAGCUAUCUUGUCCGAG